rnacentral:rRNA from 1 species
UAGGGAAUAUUGCAAAAUGGGCGAAAGCCCGAUGCAGCAACGCCGCGUGGGCGAUGAAGGCCUUCGGGUCGUAAAGCCCUUUUUGAGGGGAUGAGGAAGGACAGUACCCCAGAAUAAGCCUCGGCUAACUACGUGCCAGCAGCCGCGGUAAAACGUAGGAGGCGAGCGUUAUCCGGAUUUACUGGGCGUAAAGCGCGUGCAGGCGGAUUGGAGAGUUGGAUGUGAAAGCUCCCGGCUUAACUGGGAGAGGUCGUUCAAUACUUCCAGUCUUGAAUGCAGUAGAGGGAAGUGGAAUUCCGGGUGUAGUGGUGAAAUGCGUAGAUAUCCGGAGGAACACCAGUGGCGAAAGCGGCUUCCUGAACUGUAACUGACGCUCAGACGCGAAAGCUAGGGUAGCAAACG